GGGUCUCGGAGGGAUCCUGGAGACGCCAGUGCAGCGGCGAAGGCGGCAGGGGGCGUGGAUUUCCAAUAUCCCCGUGGGAUGGCGCCGAGUCCGCUUGGUGUUAAGGUUGCAGAGAACACCAUCUGUAGGCAGAGGUAGAACCUGGAGUGAUGCAGUCCUAAGUCAAGGAAGACCUGGAAUCACCAGAAGCUGGAAGAAGUAAGGAAGGCUUCUCCCCUAGAAGUUUCAGAGGAAGCAAGGCCCUGCUGGUAGUUUGGGGCUUCUGACCUUCAGAACUGUGAGAAUAACUUUGCAUUGUGAUGCCAUCUAAUUUGUGGUCAUCUGAGACAGCAGCUGUAGAAAAUGUAUACAGGAAGGGUUAAGGAACCAACAAAGGAUGGCCAAACCCCAGGGCCCAGCAACAGUGGGGGGCUAUCACCACCCCUAGGGCUGAAGGGCAGAGCUGGGCAUGUCAUCCCUGGAUCGCAGUGAGGCCAGGAGCCGUGGAAGAGGGACGUACUUUAAGGACUAGAGCUAUAGAGAGAUAGAGUGUGAAACCACAAGUGUGUGUGUGUGUGUGUGUGUUGGGGAUAAAUACCCUGUCCCCUCUUUCUCUUCCCAACUGCCGUUUCCUGCUGGAGCCUCCUCUUGGCCGAACCAACGGGAAGCUGGGGGCGUGAUCGCAGGUGUUGCAGUGCACACAGUUUGCAUCUAGGGCACAGAGCAGCAUGGAGGAGCAGGCUCAGGGAAUGGGAGACGGACGACUGGAGAAGAACCAGCACAUGGGACAAUCUCCAAGACACACUCUGGAGUCUAGCACUUUGAGACGAAGGUGUUGGCAGCGCCGGUUCCUUCUGAGAGCCAUGAGGGCCUGUGUCUCCCUCUCUGACUUCUCGUGGUGUGCUGGCUGUCUCUGACACACCUUGGCCUGUAGACACGUCGCCCCAUCUCAGCCUUCAUCUCCACGUGACAAUCUGUGUGUGUGAGUUUGUGUCCAGACUUCCCCUUUUUGUAAAGACACUGGUCACAUUGGAUUAGAGCUCAUCCUAAUGACCUCAUCUUAACAUAGUUACCUCUGUAAAGACUCUAUUUGCAAAUAAUGUCACUUUGUGAGGUAUGACAGAUUAAGACUCCAACACAGGAAUUUGAAGGGACACUAUAUGUGUGUUACGUAAGCAAAGGUGAUUUUGAAAGAUACAUGAGGAAGUGGUAACAGCAGUUGCUUGGGGAAGGGACCCGGGAAGUGGGUAUUCAGGUGGAUGGACAUGUCCUUUACCUUAAGGAACCUUUUGAAAUUUUGAUAUUUCAUUAUGAAAAAAUUACCUAUUAUUUUUAAUACAUUCAAAUAUUAAUCAUGUAUCAGCUACAUCUGCAUAUAUUUAUACUUAACCGAAGGGUAAAGUCAACAAGCAUGUAUAUUAACUGUGGCGAUUUCUGAAGGAUUACUUUGGAGGGGUGAAGUGGGAGACUAAUAAAUCUUUAUAUAUUUGUUUUGGAAUUUUUUUGUUUUGUUUUGAGAUGGUAACUGGGAUUACAGGCA